rnacentral:tmRNA from 1 species
ACCUAUUGGACCCGGGGGCGGUACCCGGCGCCUCCACCAAAGUAUGAUUUCUUUUGAUCAUAUUUUGGUGGGGGCGAAAUAGGAUCGACAAGGGUGUAAAGAUCGCUCUUUUACUCGGCAUUGUACCACCGUUAUCGGGCUAAAUGAGUAGUUGCAAAUGACAACUAUGCGGAAGCACGUCUCGCCGCUUAAGGUGGUGUGAAUGCUUCAAAUUAAGUCUUAAGCCGUCGCAGGUUUAAGCGGGGUUUGGAGG